rnacentral:misc_RNA from 1 species
AGAACGAUUACCACUUUGUGUUUCAUGACUGGGGUGAAGUCGUAACAAGGUAACCCUAGGGGAACCUGGGGUUGGAUCACCUCCUUACUAUUACGUCGAUGACGCCCUUGAUGCAGUGCCUACACAGAUUGUUUUGUUUAUUUAUAAAGACUCGCUUCGCGAGUGUCGCGAAUAGCUGCUUAAACGGAAGGAAACUUCCUGACAGCCAUUCUGCUCGCUAAAGUGGUAGUUGUUUUUAAAUAGAAUGCUAAUCAAUAAUCUUAUUAUUGAUUAGUGUUUUUUUAUAAUGCACUAAUGUUCUUUAACAAUUUGGAAAGCUGAUAUUAAUAGUAAUCAAUCAAAAGAGUAAUUGAGAAGUCGAAAGACGCACUUUUUACUCUACUUGACUUGAAUUGCUUGUUAUCGACAACGCCGCAAGGCGGGUUAAUCGACUUGUUCGGUUAACAAAGA